AGGAUCAUCAAUUUAUUACCUACCAAUAAGGAGCAUUUAACAAAGUUCAAUUAUGUGCAUCACAAAAAUAAAAAUUAUUUAUUUGUGCCUUCAAGACAUAGUAUUUAGGUCUAUAUAACUUUUGCUCUUUGCAAAUCUUUAGAAAAGUAACAUUGUGGUGUUGUUUCAGAGGGUCAGUGAACGCUGCGGAUUGCCAGAUCCCGUGAUCGGAACUAUGUAUAGAGCGACUACCCCGCGGGAGGUGACAGUGGUGGAUGGUGUACUACUAAUAAUAGACUCCCCUCCAGCGCGCGAUCAUCGGAACGCUGACGGGAGCGCACACAUGUGGCGCUCGUCGUCGUCGUGCUUUAGAGGUGCCCAUUUAUUUUCGAAACGGUCGUCACGCGGCGCGGUUCCCGGUGUUCCUUACAUAAGAACCUUCGACAUCUUCGCUAUAGGCUCCGGCGUGCAUAGCGGCAAACGCAAUACGCAAGCUGCAGGUCGGUGCACGUUCGGGUAACCGAUCCGAUGGACGCCCGCCGUCCGUUCUAUUUCGGGAAAAUACAAAUUUGGAAUGGAUGGGACUCGUGAGUUGUAAGCGAACUCCGCCGGUGAUUCCAUUUUUAGAGCUGGGCUGCGCGUGCGCAUCGAGAGCGCUGCCAGUGCUCGACGAGCUGCCACCACGCCGCGUCGCUCGUCACCCCCGCCGCCCUACCACUGCCAGGGCGCUAUCUCCAUCCAAGAGAUGGCGUCAUGUAUCGCACUACCGAGGGCGAGGGAUCAAAGUUACGAUUUGGACAAUGACAAUGGACACGCAUUGUGACCCGGAUCACUCACACUACGACGAAAAGGCGCGGCCGCUGACAUCUUGUAGUCUACGACAUACUAAAAGUGAUUUAAAAAAGAGCUUCACCAACGAACAUUACCCCGUACAAUUUUCAAUGCAAUAGAUUAAAUAAUAAUUACAAUGCCACAAAUCCAGAAUCUACCCGAUCCGCGCCCUUUUGAUAGUGCACGCCUUUUACUAUCGCACAAAAGACUACCUCUAUGAGAAAAGGAUCUUGACCUACCAGUUUGUUCAGAAUGUUCGACACUCAAAAACAAUUUAUUCAUGCAUCCAUGCAGCGACGACCGCUAACAAAAGAAUAAAAUAUAGACGGAGGGGUAUAAUGAAUACUAGACAAAGACUAUUUUAAUAGUGUUACUUGCGCGAAAUAUAUUUUUAUGUAUGACUCUACAAGUAAACGUUCUUUUGUUGGAGGAAUAAUUAUGGUGUAAGUAAAACAUGCGACUCGAUAAUGUAAUGUAGAUUUUAUGUAGUUCAGAAAUGGUAAGAUCUUUUCUAGUGCCCAUACGUUUCUGUUAUACAUGAAUGACUCGCUCAUCGUAGCAUUGUUCCAAAGACCGUUAAGUCCUGCCCAUCCGCCUUAAUUGUCAUAAAUCACAUAAUUUGCUUUAUAAAAGUAAUUUUUAAGAUAAGAAUUAAAUAGGCCUAUAAUUACAGAGCCCUUUUAUGGUAUGUUUUCGGAAAAGACAAUUUUUGGCUUGAAUUAUUUAGUUUAUAAAAACAAUCUAUAAUAAAUAAAUUAAAUUUCUUUCCAAUUAUAAUUCAAAAAAGAGCAAAUACGAUUUUUUAUCCUUGAUGCAGUUUAGAGCAGUGUUCUUACAGAGACACGCCGUUCGAGAUGACUGAGCGGCGGUGAAAUACAAACUAUUGAUUUUAUAUCCCAAUACAAUGAGUUGAACACUAUAUUGAUGUACUAAUAAUUAUUAUGCCACACUAUUUAUUUAUUAUUUUGAUCUGACGUAUUUGAUGAACUGAUGUUAAAAUAAUUCGAUUUUUUUUUUCGUAAGUAAUUAAUGUCACUAAAUUUUAAUACAAUUUACAGGCACUUACAAUGGAAAGGAGAAGAUAUAAUUUUAUAGCGUUUUAUGUUUUCACUAAUUUUAAAAGUUAAUUGAGAAGGAAUAUUUAAAAAAAAUUAAAGAACUAUAGUUUCUAAAUAAAAUCUAGAACAUCUCUUUGUGUUAUCGGUUUUCACAAAAAAAUAUAAUGUUUGAAAUACAUAGAUAUAAUUUUACGUAAUUCUUCAAUUAAAACAUGAACUAAGAAAAGAGACGGUGUUAGGUGAAUACCGAAACUAUAUUUUUAAAUAUAACUAGUACUAUUGAACGCACGAAUGUAUCAUUAGCUGCUCUGAAUCAAGUAUUUGUGGUGAUGUACUGUUAGUGAGAGAUGUGAGAUGUGAUCAUGAGAGUGAUAAAGUUUUAUUAUAAUAUAAUACAUAAUUGAUUUAGUUUUAUUUAGAUUUUAAAGUUUGUAUAUCGCUCGUCCUAAUAAGUUAAAGCUCUCUAAAAUACACAGGGUAUAUACGAUUGGUACGGUUACUGUUGGUAUUUUAGGAAAACACUUCUGCCAUCCAUACGGUGAUACUCGAUCUGUUGGACAACUUAAUAUGUUAUCAUAACGUAAUAUAUCAUUAUCAUAUCAUAACAUAAUAUUCACAUCAACAUAAUUUAACUAUAUUUAAGUUAUUCAUUUAUUGAAAAGAGACUAUUAAAAUUAAAAAAAUUGUUUUAAAAUAAUAGUUUUUGAGGUAAAAUUCAAGAUGUUACAACGUACGAAAAAAUCUUUAAUUUAUGAAAGAAGAAAACCAAAAUUAAAUGAAACAUUAAAUUAUUUACUGUUUCGUAUAAGAUACUUUAAUACAAUAUCUCUAUAAGCUAGUAAAAAUCGCAUAUCUCUUAAAUCGUAUAUAAUCCAUACUCAAUAUGAGGUUAUCGAUCUUUCUUGUGGGAUAAAGAUAGAUUGAAGAUGCAUGAUUUUUUUUAUUGUCGCUCACCAGAUUAUAGGGGAAAAAAUGUAUAGCCUUUCGUUGGAGCAUAUUAUGUCGCGCGUACUCCAUCAAGUUUUAAUCCGAUGGGUCUUGGUUUGCUACACUAUGUUGAAAUUAUCUUACUGAAUUACAACUCGAGGCGUAUGCAGGCGGGUAAAAACAUCCGUAAACAAGAAAUUUUUAACUACAUAUUUGCAAACAAUGUUAAUCUGAGUAUAAGUCAACAGGGAACUUUGUAAUGUCUCCAAACGAGGUUAGUUCUCUAGUUUUUCAUACUAUAGUAUUAUUCUUCCAACUUCAUAAAGUGCUGGAGACUCGAUUGCUUGUCUUUAAAAUACAAAGAGACGAUAAACCUACGACAAUAAAGUUUUGUUUUGAGUA